GCAAGUCGAACGAGAACGGACUAUAGCUUGCUAUAGUUGUCAGCUAAGUGGCGCACGGGUGAGUAAUAUAUAGGUAAUGUGCCCUAGAGAGGGGGAUAACAGUUGGAAACGACUGCUAACACCCCAUAUGCCCUUAAGACAUAAGUCUGCAGGGGAAAUAUUUAUAGCUCUAGGAUCGGCCUGUACGGUAUCAGCUUGUUGGUGAGGUAAUGGCUCACCAAGGCAAUGAUCCGUAGCUGGUCUUAGAGGAUGAUC
rnacentral:rRNA from 1 species